rnacentral:rRNA from 1 species
GACGAACGCUGGCGGCGUGCUUAACACAUGCAAGUCGAGCGGAAAGGCCCUUUCGGGGGUACUCGAGCGGCGAACGGGUGAGUAACACGUGAGUAAUCUGCCCCUGGCUUUGGGAUAGCCACCGGAAACGGUGAUUAAUACCGGAUACGACCACUUCUCGUAUGGGAUGGUGGUGGAAAGGUUUUCGGCCAGGGAUGUGCUCGCGGCCUAUCAGCUUGAUGGUGAGGUAAUGGCUCACCAUGGCUUCGACGGGUAGCCGGCCUGAGAGGGUGACCGGUCACACUGGGACUGAGACGCGGCCCAGACUCCUACGGGAGGCAGCAGUGGGGAAUAUUGGACAAUGGGCGGAAGCCUGAUCCAGCAACGCCGCGUGAGGGAUGACGGCCUUCGGGUUGUAAACCUCUUUCAGCAGGGACGAAGCGCAAGUGACGGUACCUGCAGAAGAAGCACCGGCCAACUACGUGCCAGCAGCCGCCGUAA